rnacentral:lncRNA from 1 species
CGGUAUAUUGUAUUUGCGCAUAAUAACGGAUGUAUGCAACGCACAGAAGGAAACGUUUCCGACCCAUAGAGUAUAUAGCCGAGUCGAUAGAGCCAUGUCUGUCUGUCCGUCUUGUUUGUCGGCUAGUUCUCAGAGACUAUAAGAGCUAGAGCCUCAAAAUUUUGCAUCCAGACUGCUGUAUGCUCACACUGAAACCAGUGUAUUUUAAAAAUUAAAAAA